AUGUGCUGAAAAUCCGAAGUGCCGCGGAAAGUGGAGGUGAGGGCCGCCCGCCCUAGAGGUGCCCGUCCGAGAGGCAGCUAUUCAGGAGGCUGAGGCAGGAGAAUCGCUUGAACCCAAGACGCAGAGGUCGUGGUGAGCUGAGAUCAUGCCACUGCACUCCAGCCUGGGCGACAGAACAAGACUCCGUCUCAGAAAAAAAAAAAAAAAAAAGUUAAGUUGCCUAGCGUCAUACAGUAAGAUGAUGGUGGAGCAGGGAGUAGAACCCAGGUGGUCUGACUUCCUUGUCCAGGGCUCUUUAUGCCAUUGUAGUAUCUUUAUUUGUCUUUGAAGUUAGGGUUCAUUUUUAUCUAUAAAAUGAGGUUAAUCAUGACUUCUUCAUUUGGUUGUCCUUAGGCAUAAAUGAGAUACAGGAAAGCACUUAGCAUGGCACGUGGUAAGUUGCAAGUAUUCAGUUAACUGAAGCACUUACCAUUUAUGCCUUCAGUUCAUUCACCACCUCAUUAAUUGAGAAUCGAGUGGUUUAGAGAACAUACUUAGUUGGGAAAUUUAGGACUCAGUAAUUCUAGAGUCUGGCCCUGGGUCCUUUUCCUUUAGAAAAGGAGCUAUCUUAGGGAG
rnacentral:lncRNA from 1 species